GUGAACGCUGGCGGUAGGCCUAACACAUGCAAGUCGCACGGCAGCACAGUAAGAGCUUGCCCUUACGGGUGGCGAGUGGCGGACGGGUGAGGAAUACAUCGGAAUCUACUUUUUCGUGGGGGAUAACGUAGGGAAACUUACGCUAAUACCGCAUACGACCUACGGGUGAAAGCAGGGGAUCUUCGGACCUUGCGCGAUUGAAUGAGCCGAUGUCGGAUUAGCUAGUUGGCGGGGUAAAGGCCCACCAAGGCGACGAUCCGUAGCUGGUCUGAGAGGAUGAUCAGCCACACUGGAACUGAGACACGGUCCAGACUCCUACGGGAGGCAGCAGUGGGGAAUAUUGGACAAUGGGCGCAAGCCUGAUCCAGCCAUACCGCGUGGGUGAAGAAGGCCUUCGGGUUGUAAAGCCCUUUUGUUGGGAAAGAAAAGCAGCAGGUUAAUACCCCGCUGUUCUGACGGUACCCAAAGAAUAAGCACCGGCUAACUUCGU
rnacentral:rRNA from 1 species